rnacentral:rRNA from 1 species
CCUACGGUGGGCAGCAGUGGGGGAUAUUGCACAAUGGGGGAAACCCUGAUGCAGCGACGCCGCGUGUGGGAAGACGGUCCUCUGGAUUGUAAACCACUGUCCCCAGGGACGAAGAUGACGGUACCUGGGGAGGAAGCUCCGGCUAACUACGUGCCAGCAGCCGCGGUACUACGUAGGGAGCGAGGGUUGUCCGGAAUUACUGGGUGUAAAGGGAGCGUAGGCGGGACUGAAAGUUGUGUGUCAAAUCUACCGGCUCAACCGGUAGCCGCACUCAAAACUGCAGUUCUUGGGUGAAGUAUAGGCAGGCGGAAUUCCGGGUGUAGCGGUGAAAUGCGUGGAUAUUAGGAGGAACACCAGUGGCGAAGGCGGCCUGCUGGGCUUUUACUGACGCUGAGUCUCGAAAGUGUGGGGAGCAAACAGGAUUAGAUACCCUGUAGUC